CCUUGGGGUUGCGGCAAGCUCCGCACUUCCUUUCCACGCCGCGCCUGGGACUGCGAGCUGCGCGUGCAGCAUGGCUGGCGGCGGAGGCCGGGGGCUGCGGAGCCGGCGCGUCCGCGGGCUCUGCCAGGUGCAGCAAAACCUCUCUCUUGAAGGUGCCUGAAGAAAUGUUUUCCGAACACUUGUCACUGAAUGUGAUUUCAACUAGCCUCCAGGACUACAGGUGCCAGUAGCAUGGCACGAUAUUAAGCAUGCAGGUAACUGCAGAUGAAUGUGGAACUUCAGUAGCUGUGAUGUUUACAAACACGGCAUUGGGUGCAGCACCCAUUUUGGAUGUAAAAUGAAGAAUAGGUCAAGAAACCGUGAACAGAAGCAAAAGACGAGAAUUAGUAUUUUAUUUGAUAUUAAUAAAUACAUUAUGUAGAAUUUUAA